rnacentral:rRNA from 1 species
GACGAACCGUGCGAACGUUGUUCGGAAUCACUGGGCUUAAAGGGCGCGUAGGCGGGUUCCCAAGUUCGGGGUGAAAUCUUUCGGCUUAACCGGAAAACAGCCUUGAAUACUGGGAGUCUCGAGCGAGGUAGGGGCAGCUGGAACUUCCGGUGGAGCGGUGAAAUGCGUUGAUAUCGGAAGGAACGCCGGUGGCGAAAGCGAGCUGCUGGACCUUUUCUGACGCUGAGGCGCGAAAGCCAGGGGAGCAAACGGGAUUAGAUACCCCGGUAGUCCUGGCCCUAAACGAUGAAUACUAGGUAGCGGACUGGACAUGGGUUCGCUGCCGAAGCAAAAGUGCUAAGUAUUCCGCCUGGGGAGUAUGGUCGCAAGGCUGAA